CCUACGGGGCGCAGCAGGCGCGAAAACUCUACAAUGCAGGCAACUGCGAUAGGGGAACAUCGAGUGAUACUCAUAUUGGGUGUCUGUCCUUCCGUCUAAAAAACGGGAGUUAGCAAGGGCCGGGCAAGACCGGUGCCAGCCGCCGCGGUAAUACCGGCGGCUCGAGUGGUGGCCGAUAUUAUUGAGUCUAAAGGGUCCGUAGCCGGCUUUGCAAGUCUUUUGGGAAAUCCAGCGGCUUAACCGUUGGGCGUCCGGGAGAUACUACAUUGCUUGGGACUGGGAGAGGCGUGAGGUACUCAGGGGGUAGGAGUGAAAUCCUGUAAUCCA
rnacentral:rRNA from 1 species